GUGGUUUUUCCAGCUGGAGGAGAGAGAGGCAGGUGUAAAUGGCUGGAGCUAAGGGAUCCCCUUCCCAAAAAUUGUGGGUUUGGACCACAGGUUUCCUCUGGGGAACAAAACCAAGCUGGCAGGAAGUCUCGGUGGCCUCUCCUUCCCACUAAACUCCAGAGGAAGAAACCUCCCAUUGGUCCGGCUGAGAGGCGUGGCCCAUGGUCACUGCUAGCACUGCUAGCCGACUGCUGACUGUCCAGGGUCAUUCCCUGCCCAGAGGAGGACUCAGUCUUGCUUUAACCUUCUGCCAUCACUGUGCCCUGCCCAGCUAUCAUGCCCCGGGUCUGGGUGGCAGCUGGUCCUGGUUCAGGGGUCUGCUCUGGGCCCCCUUUCCUUUGCCAUGAGAUUAGCAGUGAGGCUGAAGGAUGUGGCUGGUUCUUUCUUCUUUC